rnacentral:rRNA from 1 species
GGGUGAGUAAUGCCUAGGAAUCUGCCUGGUAGUGGGGGAUAACGUUCGGAAACGGACGCUAAUACCGCAUACGUCCUACGGGAGAAAGCAGGGGACCUUCGGGCCUUGCGCUAUCAGAUGAGCCUAGGUCGGAUUAGCUAGUUGGUGAGGUAAUGGCUCACCAAGGCGACGAUCCGUAACUGGUCUGAGAGGAUGAUCAGUCACACUGGAACUGAGACACGGUCCAGACUCCUACGGGAGGCAGCAGUGGGGAAUAUUGGACAAUGGGCGAAAGCCUGAUCCAGCCAUGCCGCGUGUGUGAAGAAGGUCUUCGGAUUGUAAAGCACUUUAAGUUGGGAGGAAGGGCAGUUACCUAAUACGUGAUUGUUUUGACGUUACCGACAGAAUAAGCACCGGCUAACUCUGUGCCAGCAGCCGCGGUAAUACAGAGGGUGCAAGCGUUAAUCGGAAUUACUGGGCGUAAAGCGCGCGUAGGUGGUUAGUUAAGUUGGAUGUGAAAUCCCCGGGCUCAACCUGGGAACUGCAUUCAAAACUGACU